GACCUAAAAUCAAGAAAAUAAAUUGAGAUAAAUAACACAGUUUUAUCGAAUAUCCAAUAGAGGGAGACUAAGGUAAACAUAUUUCAGUGCAGCCCUGCAUUUUGAGGAUGUGACAGUGGCAUCAAGCAGCAACAAGAAGUCUGUUGUUACUUCUGCUCAUCUGACAACUCUCUGUAUUUUGGGGUGGGGCUUCAAAGGUUUGAGAAGAGAUUGUAUAUCCAAAACUAGAUGGAGGAGGAUGUUGUUUUUAGUCUACACAAAUAUUGCUGUGCUGUGUGUUAUCAUUUUAACUUCCAGUUUCAGCCACAAUGUCAAUCCCCACAAUUAUUUUGCUUUUAGUAGUCGCAUGUGAUAGUAAUGGUCAGACCAUUGAGCCAAUCAGAGAGGAGGUGUCUGCACCAGCGGGUAGCAAUAUUACACUUUCAUGCACCUACUCAUCUGCAGUCUCUCUUCAAUGGUAUCGCCAGGACCCUGGAUCACCUCCUCAGUAUAUCCUGCUUAUCCUGCAUGCUGUUGGGUCUCCAUCACUGGCACCAGGUCUGGAUCCUCGACUGUCAGUCAAACUGAAUGAUGAGAAGAACCGUGUGGAUCUGGAGAUCUCCUCUGCUAAAGAGAAAGACUCCGCUAUGUACUACUGUGCUCUGACGCCCACAGUGAAAGGAAACCUACAAACGCUGUACAAAAACCUAACCUGA